CGUUUAGGGGUAAACCUGAGAAACCCGAAAGGUCGAAGGGAGAAAUUCAUUCGCGUCUCGCGACGAGCUUCGAACGGUCGAGUGACGGGAGGCGUUCGCGUCUUCCGCGCCCCCCGCUCGUUGGACCCGUCGCGAACGCGUGCACUUUUCUCCUGGUAGGACGUCGCGAUCCGUCGAGUGUCGGUCUACGGUUUCGGGUGGAGUCCGUAGAUUUUCCCUUGCGGAAAACCUACGGACCCCGGACGCCCGGCCGACUCGCUCGACGGUAUAUGAAAGGUUCGAGGCCGCUCUCAGGAGCGUCCGGCUCGUGGCAAGCACGCCAGCUGCGUCGGCGAUCGGACCCAGUGCCGAUUCUGACCUCUGGCGACUGUUGGCCGCGUCGUCCUCGGACAGACCUCGUAACCGAUCGGCGACGCUACAGAUUUGGGUACUUUCAGGACCCGUCUUGAAACACGGACCAAGGAGUCUAGCAUGUGCGCGAGUCAUUGGGAAUCACUAAACCUAAAGGCGUAAUGAAAGUGAAGGUCUUCCUCGCGAAGACCGAGGGAAGAAGGGCGGUCCGCCGUUAAAAGCGGCCGCUCCGCAUUCCCGGGGCGUCUCGUUCUCAUUGCGAGGAGAGGCGCACCAAGAGCGUACACGCUGGGACCCGAAAGAUGGUGAACUAUGCCUGGUCAGGACGAAGUCAGGGGAAACCCUGAUGGAGGUCCGUAGCGAUUCUGACGUGCAAAUCGAUCGUCGGAACUGGGUAUAGGGGCGAAAGACUAAUCGAACCAUC
rnacentral:rRNA from 1 species